rnacentral:rRNA from 1 species
UUCGCAAUGCCCGAAAGGGUGACGAAGCGACGCCGCGUGCGGGAAGAAGGCCUUCGGGUUGUAAACCGCUGUCGGGAGUUAAGAAAUGUAAGGAUGUUAAUAGCAUCUUUGCUUGACUAAGGCUCCGGAGGAAGCCACGGCUAACUCUGUGCCUGCAGCCGCGGUAAUACAGAGGCGGCAAGCGUUGUUCGGAAUUAUUGGGCGUAAAGAGCACGUAGGCGGCUAUGUAAGUCGGUUGUGAAAGCCUUCCGCUCAACGGGAGAACAGCAUCCGAUACUGCAUGGCUUGAGUGCGGGAGGGGAGAGUGGAACUUCUGGUGGAGCGGUGAAAUGCGUAGAUAUCAGAAGGAACGCCGGCGGCGAAAGCGGCUCUCUGGCCCAUAACUGACGCUGAGUGUGCGAAAGCUAGGGGAGCAAACGGGAUUAGAUACCCCGGUAGUCCUAGCCGUAAACGAUGGGCACUAAGUAGAGGGGUUUU